rnacentral:lncRNA from 1 species
UUGGGGUUCACAUUGGAUUAGGGUUUAUAUAUCCAUGUAGGGUUUAGUGAUUAUUUAGUUUAUGAAAUAUUGGGGUUAACAUUGGAUUAUGGUUUAUAUUUUCGUGAUUAGUUGAUAAGGUUUAGUUUAUGUACGACAGGAAUUGACAUUGGGGCAAACAUUACCACCUUCCAGGAUGGCAUAGCCAUAUUAACAUUUUGAAAAAUAUGUUAAGAUGAUCUUUGGAUUGCAAUUACAUUUUCACCUUUUCUAUUCAAUAUGCUCAUGUAGAAUGGAAAUCAUGUUACUUGCAUUUCGAAAUUUGGGUUUAGUUUAUGAAAGUGGGAUUGACAUUAGAUUGAGGUUUAUAUUUCCAUGUAGGUUUAGUGAUUAGUGGCCAGGGUUUAGUUUAUGAAAGAUUAGGAUUGACAUUAGAGUAAGGUUUAUAUUUCCAUAUAGGGUUUAGUGAUUAGUUGAUAGGGCUUAGUUUAUGUACGUUUGGGGUUGACAUUGGGGCAAAUAUUACCACCUUCCAUGAACGUAUAUCCAUAUCAACAUUUGAGAAAUAUGUUAAGAUGAUCCUUUGAUUUCAACUAAAUUUUCACAUUUUCUAUUCUAUAUGCCUCAUGUAGAAUGGUAAUACAUCUUACUGGCAUUUCGAAAUUUGGAUUUACUUUAUGAAAAAUUGGGGUUGACAUUGGACUAGGGUUUAUAUUUCCAUGUAGAGUUUAGUGAUUAGUUGAUAGGGUUUAGUUUAUACUUUGUGUUGGGUUAUUUCGUCGUAAGUUUAUUUUUUAGAUUUUGAUAUUUGGAUUUAAGGUUUAUAUUUGGGUUAGGGUUUAGUGAUUAGAGUUUAGCGUGUAGUAUUUAGAAGAUAAGGGGGUAUGGUUGAAGCCAACAUGAA